rnacentral:misc_RNA from 1 species
GGGAAAGUCGCAUCGUUCCUUCUUGCAUACCUUCGAAUCGGGAUGUCGUCUACCAAAAAUAUGAUAUCUGAUGGAGUCCAUUGAAUGGCGUAAUGGUGGAAAUCCUGUGUGGGAUCAAACCAGAGAUGGAACCUCAUUUCUCUUCCGAUAACGUUUCCAUCUCCACUUCCUCUGAUGAAGACGUUCGUUUGCAGAGUGUACGGCUUCCCUGGCGUUGUUCCGAGGAAUUCGAUGUCGAUUUCGUCGUGGUUUCCGGGGAAAUAUUGGUUGUUCGAAAGGUAGAAUGAUGUAAUAACUCCUG